GAUACAGUCGCAUCUGCAAGAAUUUAAAUCAUAUUUGAGUGAAAAACAAAACGGUAUAAAAAUUAUGAGAAAUGAAGUGUAAAAUAAUUUUGUUUACUUAUGUUAGUCUCAUAGAGUUAGAUUAUCUGCAUUCUGCAGUGUUAAGCAACCCAAGACUCUCCAAUAACAAAGCUGGAAACUUUUGCACCACAACAUUCAUCUCUUCACCGAUUCUCCAUAAUCGGUCGGAAAAUCGGAUACUUAUCCUGUGAGAGUGAGCCCCGCGUUUGGUUCGGUUGGUAUUUGAGUCUCAGGUGUUCGACGAAAUGUCAAACCGAGUUUGCAUAAAAAAGGGGUUGUCGACACUAACUGGCGUGAAGUUUGUGGGCAAACAGGGACACCCAAAUGAUUUUUCCAUGUGUGUUCGAUCCAAAACAACGUCUGCUCAGUAUGUAGCAUCGAGAUUUCGAGACCCCACGUUUGAGAAACUCAUGGAAAACUACAAGAACCUUUUCAAAGUCAUUGCCAUUCAAGACCUCAUUCUUGCCAACCCAAAGAACCCCUCAGUCUCCAUUGAUUUCCUCUCCAAGCUCUCCCAGAAGCUCCACCUAAACCGCGGCGCCACUGCCUUCCUCCGCAAGUUUCCUCACAUCUUCCACAUUUACUAUGACCCUUCCAAAUUGAAGCCCUUUUGCAGGUUAACUGAUGCUGCUCUUGAUGUUUCGCGGCAGGAGGCAGUGGCCAUCAAUGCCUCUUUGCCUGUUGUUGUUGAAAGACUUGUUCGGAUACUGUCCAUGUCUGCAUCCAAAGUGGUGCCUCUUAGAGCUGUUUUCAAGGUCUGGAAGGAGCUUGGGCUGCCCGAUGAUUUUGAGGAUUCAAUCAUAUCAGCUAAUUCUGGUGUUUUUCAGCUGUGUGAUGCGCCGGAAGCGAAUACGCAUUUGUUGAAGCUGGUUGGUGGUGUUUCCAGCAAUGGUUUAAGGGCAGCUGUUGAGGAUUGGAGGGUUGUUGAGUGCUGCAAGGACGAAUGCAGUGUUGAUAGGAUGGAAAUGCAGUUCAGUUUCAAACACGGGUAUCCUCCCGGGAUGAGGUUGAGCAAGAAUUUCAAGGCUAAGGUGAAGGAAUGGCAGAGGUUGCCAUAUGUGGGGCCUUACGAGGUAGUGAGUGAGAAGAAGAAGUCUAAGGCUGGAAUGAUGGCUAUGGAGAAGCGGGCAGUGUCAAUUGUUCACGAGUUCCUGAGUUUGACAGUGGAGAAGAUGGUGGAAGUUGAGAAGAUCAGCCAGUUUAGAAAAUGGUUAGGGAUUGAUUUAAAUAUAAGGGAUCUGUUCCUGGACCACCCUGGGAUUUUCUAUUUGUCUACGAAGGGUAAAAGGCAUACUGUUUUCCUGAGGGAAGCUUAUGAACGAGGGUGUUUGAUAGAACCCAAUCCUGUCUAUGAUGCAAGAAGAAGGCUACUUGAUCUUGUUGUUUUAGGACGUCGGGGCCUGCCAGCUAUUAAUUCGAAGUUGCAGGAUACAAGCAGCUGCAAUGAGGUUGGACAAGAGGAAAACCAGCAAAGACAUGACUCAUUACCAUCCUGACUAAAGCAUUACAGCCAUGUUAAGGAGAAUGAUGAUUGGGCAUUAGCCCAGGCAAGAUGGGCAUUUUAAACAAGGAUGGGAACUUGCUUACGAAAUUACAGAACAUUAAUUUAUCUUUUCAUUUCGAGGUUGAACAGAAGGUCAAAGUGCCUUUGAACUUUUGGAGAAACAAGCAUCUUAGGAAAAGCAAGCAACCCUGCUGGCGUUAUGACUAAAUGAUGUUGUUUUUUGUUCUGUUGAUAUAAUUCAUUCGAAAGUUGUAUUCAUGCAGCUUUGCAUUUUAGUGUAAUUAACUUAUUUUAAAUGAAAGAAUGAAAGGAUCUUUUGGAAUCAGAGUACAAAGAAAACCUGAUCCUUCUAGUAUUUCUGCUUGCUUGUAUUAUCAUUACUUUUGGAAUGUAUCAGCUAGUACUGUUCCCAUAUCAGUUACAUAAAUAACUUUUUGUGCCUUAAAUGAUUGAA